AAAAGAUUAAAUCUUGUGUUUUCUCAAAAAAUUAUUAAAAGCAAUAAUCUUAACAAAUGUUGUAAGCUGACAAAGAAAAGCCUUCACAGUAUACUUUCUGUAUUAACACAACCAUGGUAGAUUCUUCAUUUUGUAUUGAAUGAUAAAAAAAAUGUAGACACAUGCCAUAAUUUUAAAAGAAACCACUAGGAAGUCACUGUCUUGACCUUAAUUAGUAGAUUUAGAUAGAUAUUUUAAGACAUUGAUUUAACAUAAUUAACUUUAUUCAAGGACUUAAAUAACCAA
rnacentral:lncRNA from 1 species